rnacentral:rRNA from 1 species
UGAUCCAGCCAUGCCGCGUGAGUGAUGAAGGCCUUAGGGUCGUAAAGCUCUUUCGCCAGAGAUGAUAAUGACAGUAUCUGGUAAAGAAACCCCGGCUAACUCCGUGCCAGCAGCCGCGGUAAUACGGAGGGGGUUAGCGUUGUUCGGAAUUACUGGGCGUAAAGCGCACGUAGGCGGAUCAGAAAGUAUAGGGUGAAAUCCCAGGGCUCAACCCUGGAACUGCCUUGUAAACUCCUGGUCUUGAGUUCGAGAGAGGUGAGUGGAAUUCCGAGUG